rnacentral:rRNA from 1 species
GGAGGAAAAGAAACCAACAGGGAUUGCCCUAGUAACGGCGAGUGAAGCGGCAAUAGCUCAAAUUUGAAAGCUGGCCUUUGGUCCGCAUUGUAAUUUGUAGAGGAUGCUUUUAGGCAGCCGCCGGUCUAAGUUCCUUGGAACAGGACGUCAUAGAGGGUGAGAAUCCCGUAUGUGACCGGCUCAGGCACCUUCUGUAAAGCUCCUUCGACGAGUCGAGUUGUUUGGGAAUGCAGCUCUAAAUGGGAGGUAAAUUUCUUCUAAAGCUAAAUACUGGCGAGAGACCGAUAGCGCACAAGUAGAGUGAUCGAAAGAUGAAAAGUACUUUGGAAAGAGAGUUAAAAAGCACGUGAAAUUGUUGAAAGGGAAGCGCUUGCAAUCAGACUUGGCCUCGGUUGUUCAACCGGUCUUUUGACCGGCCUAUUCAAUCGGGGGCAGGCCAGCAUCAGUUUCGGCGGCCGGAUAAAGGCCUUGGGAAUGUGGCCUCUCCUUCGGGGGAGGUGUUAUAGCCCAGGGUGUAAUACGGUCAGCUGGGACUGAGGUCCGCGCUUCGGCUAGGAUGCUGGCGUAAUGGUUGUAAGCGGCCCGUCU